rnacentral:rRNA from 1 species
UACGAGGGGGGCAAGCGUUGUUCGGAAUUAUUGGGCGUAAAGGGCGCGUAGGCGGUUUGACAAGUCUGAUGUGAAAUCUCUGGGCUCAACCCAGAGUCUGCAUUAGAAACUGUCGGGCUUGAGUAUGGGAGAGGUGAGUGGAAUUUCCGGUGUAGCGGUGAAAUGCGUAGAUAUCGGAAGGAACACCUGUGGCGAAAGCGGCUCACUGGACCAUAACUGACGCUGAGGCGCGAAAGCUAGGGAGCAACAGG